GACGAACGCUGGCGGCGUGCUUAACACAUGCAAGUCGAACGCUGAAGCACCAGCUUGCUGGUGUGGAUGAGUGGCGAACGGGUGAGUAAUACGUGAGUAACCUGCCCUUGACUCUGGGAUAAGCCCGGGAACCUGGGUCUAAUACUGGAUGCUACAUGUCACCGCAUGGUGGUGUGUGGAAAGGGUUUACUGGUCUUGGAUGGGCUCACGGCCUAUCAGCUUGUUGGUGAGGUAAUGGCUCACCAAGGCGACGACGGGUAGCCGGCCUGAGAGGGUGACCGGCCACACUGGGACUGAGACACGGCCCAGACUCCUACGGGAGGCAGCAGUGGGGAAUACUGCACAAUGGGCGAAAGCCUGAUGCAGCGACGCCGCGUGAGGGAUGACGGCCUUCGGGUUGUAAACCUCUUUCAGCAGGGAAGAAGCCACAAGUGACGGUACCUGCAGAAGAAGCGCCGGCUAACUACGUGCCAGCAGCCGCAGUAA
rnacentral:rRNA from 1 species